rnacentral:misc_RNA from 1 species
CUCUCUCAAACCUCUGGUUUGGUGUUGAGUGAUACGCAGUCGUGUUUGCUUGAAAUGUAUCGGCGAGGCAGCUUUCUGCUGACGAAUAUCAAUGUAUAGGUUCUACCAACUCAUUGUACGGAAGCACAUAGCACCACGUCCCGCCCGACAAAUUCAUCCAAG